rnacentral:rRNA from 1 species
AAGAGACAGCAGUAGCCGCGGUAAUACGGAGGGGGCUAGCGUUGUUCGGAAUUACUGGGCGUAAAGCGCACGUAGGCGGCUUGGUAAGUUAGAGGUGAAAGCCCAGGGCUCAACCCUGGAAUUGCCUUUAAGACUGCCAAGCUAGUAGGUGAGAGAGGUGAGUGGAAUUCCGAGUGUAGAGGUGAAAUUCGUAGAUAUUCGGAAGAACACCAGUGGCGAAGGCGGCUUACUGGCUCAUACUGGACGCUGAGGUGCGAAAGCGUGGGGAGCAAACAGGAUUAGAUACCCCGGUAGUCCCUGUCUCUUAUAC